AUCCAGCUGACAAGUUCCAAAUAAGACGAAAUACACGUCUUGGAU
rnacentral:hammerhead_ribozyme from 1 species